GUUGUACGUCACAGUCACCUGCUCCUUAUUUCUCAUGACCCAACUCAGGAUACCCGGUUCCCCCAAACGUGACCAUCAGUAAGAUCAAAUACAGCAGCCAACAGCGCACAGAAGUAGACUUGCAGUGGGCUGUCAAGGAGACAGGCAACCUGACCGGGUUCAUCGUGGAGCGGUUGAAAACACAAGAACUGCAACUCAAAGUGAAUGACACCUUUUCCUGGGUGCAGCUGGUCACUGGUAUCCAGCCAGAUGUUCGCUACCAUAGACUGGUUGGACUGGACCCCACCUCCAUCUAUGUCUUCCGCAUUCUGGCCAUCAAUCACCGCACCCUGGGAUACCCUUCAGAAGUCAAGACUCCAGGUGAAAGGCACUCAUGGUUUCAGCAUCUCCUACAACAAUAACACAACUCCACAAACCCACCAGUCAAAAAAACUCUUGUACUCCACAGAAUAUGUCUCC
rnacentral:lncRNA from 1 species